GAUAGCGGCAAACGGGUGAGGAACACGUGAACAACUUUCCUCUAAGACGGGCAUAGCAUCGUGAAAACGGUGGUAAUUCCCGAUAUGGUGUUGGAGUCGCAUGGCUCUAAUAUUAAAGGUGGGGACCUUCGGGCCUGCCGCUUGGAGAUUGGUUCGCGUCCUAUCAGCUUGUUGGUGAGGUAAUGGCUCACCAAGGCGUAUGACGGGUAGCUGGUCUGAGAGGAUGGUCAGCCACACUGGGACUGAGACACUGCCCAGACUCCUACGGGAGGCUGCAGUCGAGAAUCUUUUUCAAUGGACGAAAGUCUGAAAAUGCGACGCCGCGUGCAGGAUGAAGGCCUUCGGGUUGUAAACUGCUUUUGUCAGGAAAGAAACCUUAACGGUCAAUAUCCGUUAAGUUGACGGUACCUGAAGAAUAAGCCACGGCCAACUACGUGCCAGCAGCCGCGGUAAUACGUAGGUGGCGAGCGUUACUCGGAAUUAUUGGGUGUAAAGGGCAAGUAGGCGGCCUAUUAAGUGAGGGGUGAAAUCCUGCGGCUCAAUCGCAGAACUGCCUUUCAAACUACUAGGCUUGAGUCCGGAAGGGGGAAAUGGAAUUAGCAGUGUAAGGGUGAAAUCUGUAGAUAUGCCUAAGAACACCGAUGGCGAAAGCAAUUUCCUGGUCCGGUACUGACGCUAAAUUGCGAAAGCUAGGGGAGCAAACAGAAUUAGAUACUCUGGUAGUCCUAGCCGUAAACGAUGAGUACUAGGUGUUGGGUGUUAAAACUCAGUGCCGCAGCUAACGCAUUAAGUACUCCACCUGGGGACUACGGCCGCAAGGCUAAAACUCAAAGGAAUUGACGGGGACCCGCACAAGCGGUGGAACAUGUGGUUUAAUUCGAUGCUACGCGAAGAACCUCACCAAGGCUUGACAUGCUCGUCGUACUCUCCCGAAAAGGAGAGGUCAGUUAGGCUGGACGAUGCACAGGUGCUGCAUGGCUGUCGUCAGCUCGUGUCGUGAGAUGUUGGGUUAAGUCCCGCAACGAGCGCAACCAUUGCCUUAUGUUGCCACCCACAGACUUCGGUUUGUAGCGCACUCUUAAGGGACUGCCUGGGAUAACCAGGAGGAAGGUGGAGAUGACGUCAAGUCAGUACGGCCCUUAUGCCUUGGGCUACACACGUGUUACAAUGGACGGUACAAAGGGUUGCCAACCCGUGAGGGGGAGCUAAUCUCAAAAAGCCGUCCCCAGUUCGGAUAGGAGUCUGCAAUUCGGCUCCUUGAAGCCGGAAUCGCUAGUAAUGGGAGAUCAGCACGCUCCCGUGAAUACGUUCCCGGGUCUUGUACACACCGCCCGCCAAGCGAUGAAAGUUGGGGGUACCCGAAGU
rnacentral:rRNA from 1 species